UACGGAGGGUGCGAGCGUUGUCCGGAUUGACUGGGCGUAAAGCGCACGCAGGCAGAUGCGCGCGUGGGGUGUGAAAUCUGGCCGCUUAACGGCCAGGCGCCAUCCCAUACGGCGCGUCUGGAGUGAUGCAGAGGUCGAUGGAAUUGCCGGUGUAGUGGUGAAAUGCGUAGAGAUCGGCAGGAACACCCAGGGGGAAACCAGUCGACUGGGCAUCUACUGACGCUGAGGUGCGAGAGCGUGGGGAGCGAACCGG
rnacentral:rRNA from 1 species